rnacentral:rRNA from 1 species
CAUAUCAUAAGCGGAGGAAAAGAAACCCAACAGGGAUUGCCCUAGUAACGGCGAGUGAAGCGGCAACAGCUCAAAUUUGAAAUCUGGCCCUCGGGUCCGAGUUGUAAUUUGUAGAGGAUGAUUUUGGUUAGGUACCUUCCGAGUUCCUUGGAACAGGACGCCUUAGAGGGUGAGAGCCCCGUACGGUUGGAUGCCGAGCCUCUGUAAAUCUCCUUCGACGAGUCGAGUAGUUUGGGAAUGCUGCUCUAAAUGGGAGGUAAAUUUCUUCUAAAGCUAAAUACCGGCCAGAGACCGAUAGCGCACAAGUAGAGUGAUCGAAAGAUGAAAAGCACUUUGAAAAGAGGGUUAAAUAGUACGUGAAAUUGUUGAAAGGGAAGGGCUUGUGACCAGACCUUUGCCUUGCGGAUCAUCCGGUGUUCUCACCGGUGCACUCCGCUUGGUUGAGGCCAGCAUCAGUUUCGGCGGCGGGAUAAAGACUUCAGGAACGUGACUCCCCCGGGAGUGUUAUAGCCUGCUGUGUAAUACCGCCGCUGGGACUGAGGACCGCGCUUCGGCUAGGAUGCUGGCAUAAUGGUCAUCAGCCACCCGUCUUGAAACACGGACCAAGGAGUCGAACAUUUAUGCGAGUUUUUGGGUGUUAAACCCUCAAGCGUAAUGAAAGUGAACGGAGGUGAGAGCCCUUACGGGUGCAUCAUCGACCGAUCCUGAUGUCUUCGGAUGGAUUUGAGUAAGAGCAUAACUGUUCGGACCCGAAAGAUGGUGAACUAUGCGUGGAUAGGGUGAAGCCAGAGGAAACUCUGGUGGAGGCUCGCAGCGGUUCUGACGUGCAAAUCGAUCGUCAAAUCUGCGCAUGG